UUUUUUUUGUUUAUUUGCAACAUAAAUAUUUCAAUAAUGUCAUCAUCAACAUUUGAAUCUUUUUUAGAAGAGAGGAUCCAACAAUGAUGACGACGAACCAUAACCUACCAGUAGAAGACCAGUGGCCAUCCGACCGCCAACAACAGCUAAAGCCCUUAUUAAACCUCGCUGUGGUGCUUUUGGGCACCGGCCAACUCAAGCCACCAACGACAAUGGCGCGUAGAGAGGUAGCAAAACUCGACCACUUCCUUCAAUGGCUUCAGGUAAUUUAUUGAUACGUUUCCUCUGCAUUGGUUAUGAAUGUUGUUUCUUUUGGAGGGUUCAUCAUUUUGAUGUACGCUGUGAUUCUCCAUGUUAUGGUUGUAACGGUAUCAUUAAAUUAUUUCAACUUCUUUCCUUGCUGCCAUGCUUUACUCUUUAUUACACCCAUUUCAGCUCUACCAUUAUUAUCUAAAAAUUGUGCCCAAUACACGAUUUGAUUUUGUUUAUCCUUUUGGCCGGUUGGGAAGAAUGUGCUGCCUGACCUCUGAUGAAACAAUGCCAAAAACAAAUAUUGGCCAUUUUUAAUGAAGAAUUUAUUCACAUCAGAGGGUGGUUGGUGGUAUAUAUUAUGUUGAUAGGUGGGUUCAUCGUAAAGGGUGGAGUCAUGGUCAUGAUUCGUCCUUGUUGUCGUUGGAUUUCUUCUUCUUAAAAAGGAUUUAAAUGUUGAU
rnacentral:lncRNA from 1 species